CAAAGUCAUGAAAAAACCCGAACCGACCGCUAAAGAAGGGGAAGUACUCAUACGGGUCAAAUCUGGGUAAGUAAUAUUACGAUGUUUAUCGAACGACGACCAUGGCGGAUAAGUUCAAACCGCAACUGUCAAGUGGUUGCAACUUACUAAAUGCGUUGUCACCCGACGUGUCUCGUUCGGUUAUAAACAAUUGUUUCGAACGUGAAUAAAUCUCGUCGAUUUUGUCAAAAUGGCGUUUGUGUUAUCGGAUGUGUCGCCGGCCGGCAUCCCUUAUUGCCCUCCCUGUAAUAGUGACGGUCGUGAUGGGCCCGUUUAGAAGAAUAAUUAACGGGGCCACCUGUAUUAAAAUCCGGUUUUGAUUUUUAAGACUGGUUUACCUUCGACCCAGUGUCGCUCCCUGUCCGCUUUAUUGUAUAUCUGUGCGAUGAGUAAACCGCUCGCGCCUGGGUGCUACAUAUUUCGGCGCCAUCUUGUAUCUUUAAAUAAUCGUGUCGGCGAUUUUUCGUAAUUUCUAUCCCAUAUAAACCUAUUAAAGACUAUGAGGUCUCGGAUUUACUCCAUUAAGGAUCAAAGGGUUGGGAUGUAUCGGGGUGGUCACAUCGUCGUUACGCCUCGGUGAGCUCCAUAUGGUUCAACACACCCACUUUUGUUCGGUCGAAGUUGAACGAUUUUUAUCUUCGCAUUUUCCUAUCGCAGCCGGAUUGUGUUUCUCUUUAACACAGAAAAACGUUGUAAUUGCUAGAAGUGUCAAUAUCACCCGGUUGAAUUUUUAUCUAUGUCAAAAUGCCUUUAUAACAAGUUUACAGUUCACUGACAAUUUCUAUAGAAACGGAAUAAUGGUGUCUGAUAUAGGGGAGCGGAGAGGAGUCGCUUGGAAAGGUACUCGUCUCGCCUGAUCGUCACGCAUAAAAGUCGCUGACCUAAACCUAUUUAACACGUUUCGUCCCCUUAGCCACUGUUUAACCACCAUUUAAAACAUCUACGUUACGAAAUAAUUGUUUAAGACGCAUUUAUGAAUGGAUCAUCGUAUUAAAACUAAUCUAAAUCUUCUGGUGAAAAUCGAUCUGAUCGAAAGAAUUUUUCGUCUUGCGACUCGUCUCUCGAACUACCUUCCACUUCGAAUCAUUCAAGGUCUUCCUAGCAAGAUAAAAAAAAUUAUUGCCAAGUUCAUUCUAAGAUGGUCUUCGUAAAUAUUCGAAAUCUACUAAACUCUAUACGCUGUUAAAAGAAAUGACAGCCGUACUAACUUCGUAUCGGUUACAAAAAUUUUGAACACACACAAAAUGUACAAAACGUUAAAAAAAAAAAUAAUUCUAGAUAUUAAACGUUUCAUAGAACGUUUCUUCAAUGGUAUACGAGUUGGUAACAUUUAAACAAUUCCACCACUGCCGUUGUUGUGGAAGAUUCGAAACAAUUUUGUUGAUCUACUGACAGAAAAAAAAGAGGAGAAAAUUCAUUUCUUCUGCACUGAUCUUCACAAAAUCUUUAUUAUAAGUAGAUCAGUUAAAUAAUUCGAUUCAAACUUUCAAAAAUUUAGGAAAAAAAAGAUAAUUUUCGAGAAUCUUAUCUGAUAUGGGUGAUAAACAUGUUGGUUUUAUUUUAAUUUCACUUAUGUCACGCUACUUUUAUCACCGAAUUUAUCUAAUCUGGAAAAAAAAGAAAAAAACUUCAGACACUGAUUUAAUUGUUUUUAAACGUCUGAAGUACAAUAUUAGAAUUUUUACUUUUAAAAUUUAGACGAUAAAAAAAAUCUUGUAAAUCGUGCUGGCGGUUACUGAUAGUUAGGAAUGACCGGAAAUUAAUUUUCGAUCGAUUUUUUUUGGGGGUGGAGGGAGUGUUUGGCCAAUUAGAUAUUCUUGAAUAAUUAGGAUUAAUAUUAAAAAUUUUAACAGAAUUCAGUUCAAAAUUUUAUCCAAAAUAAAAUAAAAUUUUUAUUCCUGAACAGAGAACGAAACCUGUCCAAACUUCUUACGUUAAUAAUCUACCAAACUGUUUUCAAAAAUUGCAAACAUCAGUUGGUUCCUGUUGUAUAUAAUUUCAUUUUUGUUUUUUUUUUAUGUUUUUGUUUCUACAAAAACAUCAAAACGCAACAAAUAGAGGAGAACUGCUUUAUCUUCCGCCAUCUUCAAUAUGUUAGAUACCGGAAAUUAGAUUUUUGAAGAGAAUUGUUGGUCACUCGUACCUGUCGAUUUUCCAAACCAAAGCUUCUCAAUCUCUAGUACGCCAGUCAGAGAUUAAAAGAGGAAAGAUUUAAUCAUUUAUAACUAACGUAUCUCAACUUCAGACUUUUAUAUCGCUAUAAAAACUGACACCGAUCGAAAAAAGAUUAAUUUUUCCGAAAUUCGUCAUUUUGAUAGACCGAGUUCGACCUUUUUAGUUGUAUUUUUUUCUUUUCGAACAACAGAUUUGCGUGUGGUUAAGCAGUUUAUUGUAGAUUUUGGAGAGGAUCAAUAUUAGUUCGGUAGUAACAGGC
rnacentral:lncRNA from 1 species